UGGGGAAUAUUGGACAAUGGGCGAAAGCCUGAUCCAGCCAUGCCGCGUGUGUGAAGAAGGUCUUCGGAUUGUAAAGCACUUUAAGUUGGGAGGAAGGGCAGUAAGCGAAUACCUUGCUGUUUUGACGUUACCGACAGAAUAAGCACCGGCUAACUCUGUGCCAGCAGCCGCGGUAAUACAGAGGGUGCAAGCGUUAAUCGGAAUUACUGGGCGUAAAGCGCGCGUAGGUGGUUCGUUAAGUUGAAUGUGAAAGCCCCGGGCUCAACCUGGGAACUGCAUCCAAAACUGGCGAGCUAGGGUAGGGCAGAGGGUGGUGGAAUUUCCUGUGUAGCGGUGGAAUGCGUAGAUAUAGGAAGGAACACCAGUGGCGAAGGCGACCACCUGGGCUCAUACUGACACUGAGAUGCGAAAGCGUGGGGAGCAAACAGG
rnacentral:rRNA from 1 species